rnacentral:rRNA from 1 species
CCUACGGGUGGCAGCAGUGGGGAAUAUUGCACAAUGGGGGAAACCCUGAUGCAGCAACGCCGCGUGAAGGCAGACGGUUUUCGGAUUGUAAACUUCUGUUCUUAGUGAAGAAUAAUGACGGUAGCUAAGGAGCAAGCCACGGCCAACUACGUGCCAUCAGCCGCGGUAAUACGAAGGUGGCAAGCGUUGUCCGGAAUUACUGGGUGUAAAGGGAGCGAAGGCGGGAAGCCAAGUCAGCUGUGAAAACUACGGGCUUAACGUGUAGACAGCAGUUGAAACUGGUUUUCUUGAGUGAAUGAGAGGUUGGCGGAAUUCCGGGUGUAGCGGUGAAAUGCGUAGAUAUUCGGAGGAACACCGGUGGCGAAGGCGGCAAACUGGUCUUUAACUGACGCUGAGGCUCGAAAGUGUGGGGAGCGAACAGGAUUAGAUACCCCAGUAGUC